rnacentral:rRNA from 1 species
AAACCGUUUCAGGGGUAAACCUGAGAAACCAAAAGAUCGAAUGGGGAGAUUCAUCGUCAACAGCGCUGGCUCCCGUUGGUGCGCGAUGCCCCGAAUGGGCCCUUGUGGUUCCACGGCGAGGGCACGCCACCUUCGGCUUGAACGUUCCGGUGCAGUAGUCGUGCACUUCUCCCCUAGUAGAACGUCGCGACCCGUUGCGUGUCGGUCUACGGCCCGAGAGGGCGCCUGUCGCGUCGCUUUAUGCGCACUCGUCAGACCCUCGGUCGCCCGGCCGGCUGCACGACGGAACUCGCACGGUAUCGGGCCGCAACCAAUCCAUUCUCGAAUGGCGUUAUGCGUCAGGUCCGCCGCAAGCUCGGUUAGUUCUUACCCGGUGGUACGGACCUCGCGCCGUCCCCCGGGCCUAACCAGCUGUUAGCAGGCGGUGUCCUCGGACUGGCCAAGCUUCGAAUUACCGGUCGGCGACGCUAUUGCUUUGGGUACCCUCAGGACCCGUCUUGAAACACGGACCAAGGAGUCUAACAUGUGCGCGAGUCAUUGGGAUGCACAAACCUAAAGGCGAAAUGAAAGUGAAGGUCGUCCUUAGCGUCGAUCGAGGGAGGAUGGGCCGCGUAACUAGGCGGCCUCGCACUCCCGGGGCGUCUCGUUCUCAUCGCGAGAAGAGGCGCACCCAGAGCGUA